rnacentral:rRNA from 1 species
UACGUAGGGGCCUAGCGUUGUCCGGAUUUAUUGGGCGUAAAGAGCUCGUAGGCGGUUCGGUAAGUCAGGUGUGAAAUCUCCACGCUUAACGUGGAGGCGCCAUCUGAAACUGCCGUGACUCGAGUCCGGUAGGGGAGUGUGGAAUUCCCGGUGUAGCGGUGAAAUGCGCAGAUAUCGGGAGGAACACCAGUAGCGAAGGCGGCACUCUGGGCCGGUACUGACGCUGAGGAGCGAAAGCGUGGGGAGCGAACAGG